rnacentral:lncRNA from 1 species
GAGGAGGAAAAUAUCCCAAGACAGUGGUUCCAUUGAUUUUCAAGUUGGGGCGCCAAUCUUUCCAAGGAUAACCACAAAGUGCAAGCAAAAAUAAUGAAAAAGGAAAGAAAGAAAGAAAAUCUGUAUGCAAACCCAGGUUGUCAUUAUCUGGCGUUGUUUUCGGCCAUUCUUGUCUUCUGACUCCUACCUGGCACACAGAUCACUCCUGCCCACUCCUGCCCAUUACUCUCUAUCUUGUACACGCCUUGCUGGUACAUAUGGAGGACCAUGGAAGAAAAGCAUUGCUGUAAAUUUCCUCCUUCUCAAGGAAUCCUGCUCCCUGAGUUUCUGCUUAAGUGACUUCUCACCUUCAAACUCACUGAGGUUAUUCUUGUUUGGCUUCAGAUAAGUGGCUGAGAUUUUAAUUGUUCUCAAUUGGUCUGUUUAUCAGGGUAACUGUUUCAGUUUUCUUCAAGACAAAUGAUUAGAUCCUUCGGUCUUUAUCAGUAUAUUAAGUAUGUUUUUCAGGUGUGGACUUAACUUUGCCCUCCACUCCCAGCAACCGUUUCCUUUCAUAACUUGGGUGUAGUUUAAACACACACACACACACACACACACACACACACACACUUGCUCAGAGUUAUUUUGGAAAGUGUAUUCUUUACCAGUGACACCAACCUCAAAAGAGUCAAGGAUUCCUUAAAAAGGAGAAGAUUUUAUAUAUUAAGUCUGAAUUGAGAAAGGGGGAAAGAAAGGAAUAAAACAGAGAGUGAUAGGAAAAAUUAGGAGGUCUCAAUGGAUUGAAAAGGUAGCAACAAAGGACACUAAGUGUGCACAAUGGCUGGGUUCUCUGUAUUUUCUCAUUUCAUCCUUAAGACAACUUAGAGAGGUAAGAAACAGUUUUUUCUCUUUUAACAGAAGAAGAAAUUGAAGUGGAGAAAGAUAAGAAGCUUGGGGAAAAGCAAUGAAUGGUAGAAUAUCUCAAUAAGCCAAACUAUUUUCAACUUUUUACUUAUGAAGUAACUAAGGUUCAGAGAUGUAAAGCAAUUUGCUCAAGGUUAACCAGCAAAUCAGUAGAAGAGCUGUGAUUCAAGCCAGGUGUGUUGCUCCAAAGUCAUUUAAAGGCAAAAGCUGAAAAGCAGGAACUGGAAGGUGAAUGAAUAUAUACUGUGAGAUGAUCUUUUCCUAGUUUAAAUAAAUCUCAGCCAGCAGCCAUCCAAAGAAUCUACCGGAGGAGAAGUGCAGGCUUUUAUUGCUCAGGAUAGGCUAAGCUAUGCUGCAAUAAUAAAUAAAGCCUGAAAUUUCAGUGGCUUAUAAAAAACAAAAGAAGAAGAAAGAAAGAAAAAACAUUUGAUUCUUAUUCACACAAGUCCACUGCUGGUCAAGCAACUCUGCAGUGCAGCUUUCUUUGGCACUUCCAGUAUUCAGACUUCUUUCAUCCUGUGGUUCCAUCAUCCCAAUAGAACAAUUCUAUGGUCACCCCAAAGAAGAAAAGAAAAAAAGAGGAGACACAAAGCUCCUAAUGACUUUGGCUGUGAAAUAACACACAUCAUUGCCACUCACAGCCCAUGGCCAGAACUAAUCACUGGCACCAGCCUUCCUGCAAGGGAAGCCAGGAGAUAUAGGCAGCCCCUUGGGUAUUUGGUGAGUGCUAAGUACAACUGUGCAACACUCCCCAACUUUCCUUGGCCUCAUUUUUUUUUUUUUGAGACAGAUUCUCACUCUGUCACCCAGGCUGGAGUGCAGUGUCAUGAUCUCGUCUCACUGCAACCUCUGCCUCCCAGGUUCAAGCUAUUCUCGUGCCUCAGCCUCCUAAAAUAGCUGGGACUACAGGUGUACAUCACCAUGCCUGGCUAAUUUUUGUAUUUUUAGUAGAGAUGGGGUUCCACCACAUUGGCCAGGCUGGUCUCGAACUCCUGGCCUCAAGUGAUCUACCCACCUUAGCCUCCCAAAGUGCUGGGAUUACAGGCAUGAGCCACCAUACCCGGCCUCCUUGGCCUCAUUCUUGAGUUUUUAAUAUCUGUGUAAAAAAUGAACACCAUUGAACCUUAGUAUAGGCUUUUUGGGAGUAGCAACAGGUUAAAGCAAUUGCAGGAUGCUUUCUUCAACAAAGUAGUAGCAUCUGAAAUUUGAGUCAUGAUGGGGAUCUUUAGAAGCCCUAGGUAUUCCUGAAAAAUCUGGAGGUUACUGCUGCAGCCCUCAUAUGAUGGUUUCAAAAAAAACUGCAGGAGAUCCUCCCACCUCCACAUUUAAGAAAAACUGAGAACACCCACCUUUUCGACUGGUUUAUGAUGGGUUAUCUUCAGAACAAAAGAAAUAUUCUAAUUUCAGCGGCUUUCAAACAAACUGAGUGUUUAACACACAGGCCUUUUGAUUCCCACAGGAGGAACCAUCACAUAAGCUUAUAUUGUUAAGCGAAAUAUGCCCAGGGUAGAAUCUCAUUCAUAAGCCAUUGGACUUGAGCUUAGGCAGAGAUGAUCCGUGAGCUGGAUCCAAGGUAACAUAGGAACUCAGGUUCCUCAAGUGCAGCCUCAGCUGCAUUCAUUUCAUAUACCUGCACCAUGCCAGGCUCUGAUUAGGUAAAAGAGUAUUAGUCAAUGCGUUUUGUUUUUUGCAAGUGACAGAAACCCAACUCCCACUGGCUUCAAGCAAAAUAGGGAAUGUUUUGGCUCCUGUAACCAACCACUACCAUAUAGAGAAAGCCUGCUUGAGAAUGAAGCCAGCCCAGAGGAAAGCUGGGCCAAGAGGAAAGGGCAGAGUUUUUAGGAGUUGACCAAAGCCCUUGAUCCAACUGUACCUGAAGGAAACAUGCAGUUGGUGCCUGGGCAAAUUUCCAAGAAAGAAGAAGCAGAAAUGAACACAAGUGUACAAAGCUUCUUGAAGCCUAAGCUUGGAACUGGUACAUCAUCAACUCCAUCUCAUUUUUGUGUCCAAAGCAAGUCACAAGGCCAACCCAGAUCCAGGGGAAGGAAACAGCUAUCACCUUUUGACAGCACAGCCACAGAGGCAUGUUGUAGGGUGCAUGAAUUUCUGCCAUAUCUACAAUCAGUCUUUCAUGUCAUAUUAUUUAGUUUCUUUCUCCUUGAACCUUAGAGCAAUUCUGAAUGGUCAAGAGCAGUUCAGUUAAACUGCUUCUUGUCAUUUAUUUGCAGCCACUGGCAGGGUAGAAGCUUGGGGGUGCAGAGGUCUAGCAUCAGUGAUUCUGUUUUUUUUUUCAUCAGUGAUUUUCAUUAGGAAUCUGUUAUGUAUGAAACAACGACUUGCCAUAGUUCUGAAACCCAGCUCCUCCAUUUAUUAGCUCUGUAAUCUUUGCCAAGUUUUACCUAUUUGCACCUCAAUUUCCUCUUUCAUAAAAUGGGGAUAAGAGUAACAAUGUUACGGUGUUAUGAGGAUGAAACGUAUAUAAGGCCAUACCUGGCAGCCCCCUCCCCUUGCCCAGCCUAGAUUUGCCUGUAGGAAAAGAAAAACACUGUGGUGCAACUCUUGCCCAAGAAGUUUAAGUUUCUAGCUCAGUGAGACAUCACAGCUCUGCUGGAAAGGUCAACUCAGAGCAGCUUCCAAGCCCACCUGGCCUCCUGAAGGACUAGACCACCCUCUGAAGAGCCUGAAUUGGAUAACAGUUAACUAGGCACCAGCCUUCAAGCUUAACAUCUCGUUUCCUUUCUUAAGACACUCAGGAAGACAUUACCAUUUUAGCUACAUGGAGAACUAGCCCUGGAGAACUUAAGAUCACAAAGCUGUGGAGUAAGAGAACAGGGAUUAGAAUCAAGCUGUUGGACCCCCAAGCCCAAGCUGGUAACUACUGUGUAUUCCCCCACUCUUUGCUAUAUUAUCCUCUGCCACUCAGUGCCCACUUAAUAAUAGGCUCAAUUCCAAAACACUGCAUAGUUCUUGAUGGGGACUUUGGUGCUCCAGGGACAAACUCUGAGCAGCAUUUGGCCACUAUGUGCUAAAUUAAAAACUCCAAAUACCCUUCACCUUCCCCAGCGGAACUAUUUCCAGCAUCGUUAUUCAAGCUCCCCUCUCCUAAAACUACAGUUAUCUAGAAGCAGAACAUUAGGGAGCAAGAGAAUGAGGCUUUGAAAUUACCAACAUUACUCAAACCCAAAGCUCAGAUGGAAGCAUUCACAGCUUCCCUUCCUCUCCUGGUGACAACCAAUGUCUCCAAUUCACCACCGAGGAACCGGGAGAAGUGUGAAGAUGCAAAAUUCUACACUUUCAGAGCUGGAAGGGAGUUUAACGCAGCUAGUCCCAAUGCACAGAUGCAAAAAUGAAGCCUGGAGAGAAAGGGAUUUGUCCACAGAGCUAACCAGAAAUGUGAGAAAUCCAAAGGGUUUUUCUGUCCAGUAUUGGAUUUGAUCCUGACAAGAACAUUGUGGAGCAGCAGAGCACAUACAUUUACUUUAGAGAAGACAGGCUGAGUUAGCCAAUGCAGGGCAUCCAGAGUGUCUGGAGCAACACUGAGACUAGAACCACCUUCCUACUCCUAGAGCAUCAGACAAGACUUGUCUAGGCUGAUUCCGAUUCUGUAUUUUUUUUUUUUUAAUGAAGUCUGCUCUGUCACCCAGGCUGGAGUCCAGUGGCACAAUCUCGGCUUACUGCAUCCUCCACCUCCCAGGUUCAAGCAAUUCUCCUGCCUAAGCCUCCAAAGUAGCUGAGACUACAGGUGCCCACCACCAUACCCAGCUAAUUUUUGUAUUUUUUUUAGUAGAGAUGAGAUUUCACCAUGUUGGCCAGACUGGUUUCAAACUCCUGACCUCAGGCAAUCCGCCCGACUUAGCCUGCCAAUGUGCUGAGAUUACAGGCAUGAGCCACCGCACCAGGACUGAUUCUAAUUCUUAACUCUGUGUCUUCAGGUAAAUCAUGACUUCUCUAACCUCAGUUUUCUCAUCUAUAAAAUUAGAAUCAGGAUGAUUCUGAGUGCUGUGUGAUUAAAAUGAAAUAAUGAUGCAUCAAGCUCUAGGUUUAGAAUUAGCAUGUGACACACACUGCAAAAUUGGUAGCUGUUUAUAUGAUAAUUUUUGUACAAAAUCUGAUUUUUUUUUUUUUUUUUUGAGACAGGAUCUCUUUCUGUCACCCAGGCUGGAGUGCAGGGGAAUGAUCUUGGCUCACUGCAACCUCCACCUCCCAGAUUCAAGCAAUUCUCAUGCCUCAGCCUCCCAAGUAGCUGGGACUACAGGCAUGCACC